rnacentral:rRNA from 1 species
AUUGAACGCUGGCGGCAUGCUUUACACAUGCAAGUCGAACGGCAGCACGGGGUGGUAACACCCUGGUGGCGAGUGGCGAACGGGUGAGUAAUAUAUCGGAACAUGUCCGGAAGUGGGGGAUAGCUCGGCGAAAGCCGGAUUAAUACCGCAUAUGCCCUGAGGGGGAAAGCGGGGGAUCGCAAGACCUCGCGCUUUCGGAGUGGCCGAUAUCGGAUUAGCUAGUUGGUGGGGUAAAGGCUUACCAAGGCGACGAUCCGUAGCUGGUCUGAGAGGACGACCAGCCACACUGGAACUGAGACACGGUCCAGACUCCUACGGGAGGCUG